CCGACUUUAACUCAAGUGGUAGAGUGUUUGACUGUAGUUAUCAAAAGGUUGCUAGUUCGAGUCUGGCAAGUCGGA